rnacentral:rRNA from 1 species
CCUACGGGCGGCAGCAGUGGGGAAUAUUGGGCAAUGGGCGCAAGCCUGACCCAGCAACGCCGCGUGAAGGAAGACGGCUCUCGGGUUGUAAAAUUCUUUUAUCAGGGACGAAGAACGUGGCGGUAGCUGCUGAAUAAGCCAAGGCUAACUACGUGCCAGCAGCCGCGGUAAUACGUAGGUGGCAAGCGUUAUUCGGAUUUACUGGGUGUAAAGGGCGUGUCGGCGGGAAAGCAAGUCAGAUGUGAAACCCAGGGGCGCAACCUUUGGCCGGCAUUUGAAACUGUUUUUCUUGAGUACUGGGGAGGUAGACGGAAUUCGUAGUGUAGCGGUGAAAUGCGUAGAUAUUAGGAGGAACACCAGUGGCGAAGGCGGUCUGCUAGACAGCAACUGACGCUGAGGCGCGAAAGCGUGGGGAGCAAACAGGAUUAGAUACCCCAGUAGUC